rnacentral:rRNA from 1 species
UACAGAGGUCUCAAGCGUUGUUCGGAAUUACUGGGCGUAAAGGGCGCGUAGGCGGCCUGCUAAGUCGAACGUGAAAUCCCUGGGCUCAACCCAGGAACUGCGUCCGAUACUGGUUGGCUUGAAUCCGGGAGAGGGACGUGGAAUUCCAGGUGUAGCGGUGAAAUGCGUAGAUAUCGGGAGGAACACCAGUGGCGAAGGCGGCGAUCUGGGUAGAUACUGACGCUGAGGUGCGAAAGCGUGGGGAGCAAACAGG